rnacentral:rRNA from 1 species
AUGAAAAUGCUUAGAAGGUCUGAAAUACUGAAGAAGGUGAAUCUAAGAAUUCAACUUUGGCAGAUAUCUCAGAUAAGCAAUCCCUUCAUGUUGGCUCUAUUAAUACUGGGAUUGGAUGUUUCACCUGACAACAUAUGCCAUUGUGAAAAACAGGCAAUCUCAAAAAUUGAAGAGAUCAGAUAUAAGUCUUACUUGAGAAACCAUGAGACAAACAAAGAAAUUGCGCAUCUGCCUCUUCCUCAAUCUUUUGACAGACAAUCUUGCGAAUUCUCCUUCCUAUAUUGUUCAGAUGAAAUGGGUCUGCUGCAAGGUAAACAGAGGAAAAUUCAUCAAAUUCAGGUGAUUGUGCUCAUGGUAUGUGCCCAACCCCCAGAUGAUGGAUGCUGA